UACGUAGGGUGCGAGCGUUGUCCGGAAUUAUUGGGCGUAAAGGGCUCGUAGGCGGUUUGUCGCGUCGGGAGUGAAAACCUCGGGCUUAACUCGGGGCUUGCUUUCGAUACGGGCAGACUAGAGGUAUGCAGGGGAGAACGGAAUUCCUGGUGUAGCGGUGAAAUGCGCAGAUAUCGGGAAGAACACCCGUGGCGAAGGCGGUUCUCUGGGACGGUACUGACGCUGAGACGCGAAAGCGUGGGGAGCGAACAGG
rnacentral:rRNA from 1 species